CCCGGACUCUCCGGGGACGCGCGGUUGGAAGUUGCACCGUGACGUGGUCAGAUCGGAUGAUAGAAUUUUGAAACCUCGCCCGCAUUAAGGCAAGAAAGGUGUCUGUUUUUUCCGAAGUGAGCCUGCUUGACUCCUUUGAUUUUUCUCUGGGAUUCUUCGUCCUCCAUCAAGUUGAUCGAUUCCUCUGGAUCUUGGUCAGUUUCCUGACAUCUCUAUAAAGUUCAGGGACCCAGGCUGAGUCCACGUCUCAAAUGAGGUUCUGACUAAUGCAGAGUCUAACAGAAAGAUUACUGGACAUGUCAUGCACUGUUAAUAACCUCUGUUAUCAAGGAUUUUUUUUUUUUUUUUUCACAAUAGGAAUGAACAGAGUUCUGACUCACUCUAGGUUUGUGGUAAAUUGCAGAUCACUUUCUGCUUUAUUUAGCCGGAGUCCCUGUCAUCAUCUUUCUCCUUCUCUAACUCUGCCCUCAUAAUUACCAUGUCUUCCCCAAACGUUCUUCAACUGUGAAUAGCUCUAAGCACUACGCAGAGUGAGUGACAGCUCUCUUAUUUGGUGCUGGGGGACACACAAACCCUUGGACAAACCAUUGUCACUGUGUGCCAAGAAGCUGAAAAAUUCUCCAUGCCUCAGAGCCAUAAUUACACUUCUGGUAGCAUAUUCUAAGGAAGUCAUCCCAUGUACAGGAAAAGCUGCAAUGUGUCAGGAUGUUCAUUCCAGCAAUAUUUAUAGUAGUGAAAAACUGAAAGCAACCAAAUGCCCAAGAAAAAAAUUACAGUAUAUCCACUGGAUGGAAUAGUAUGAAGCCAUUUAGGACAGAUUAUGAAAACCCUAUGGCAGUAUGGGGAAAUGUUUGCUAAGUUAUAUGAAAAAA